rnacentral:misc_RNA from 1 species
UCUCCGUUGGUGAACCAGCGGAGGGAUCAUUACAGAGUGCAAACUCAUAACCCUUUGUGAACCUAUAUCUGUUGCUUCGGCGGCUCGCUCUCGGGCGAGCCCGCCGGUAAUAUCAGUGUCUCUGUUUGAACCCGACGAUACUUCUGAGUGUUCUUAGCGAACAGUUAAAACUUUUAACAACGGAUCUCUUGGCUCUA